GAUGAACGCUGGCGGCGUGCCUAAUACAUGCAAGUCGAGCGAACGGACGAGAAGCUUGCUUCUCUGAUGUUAGCGGCGGACGGGUGAGUAACACGUGGAUAACCUACCUAUAAGACUGGGAUAACUUCGGGAAACCGGAGCUAAUACCGGAUAAUAUUUUGAACCGCAUGGUUCAAAAGUGAAAGACGGUCUUGCUGUCACUUAUAGAUGGAUCCGCGCUGCAUUAGCUAGUUGGUAAGGUAACGGCUUACCAAGGCAACGAUGCAUAGCCGACCUGAGAGGGUGAUCGGCCACACUGGAACUGAGACACGGUCAAGACUCCUACGAGAGGCAGCAGUAGGGAAUAUUCCGCGAUGGGCGAAAGCAUGACGGAGCAACGCCGCGUGAGUGAUGAAGGUCUUCGGAUCGUAAAACUCUGUUAUUAGGGAAGAACAUAUGUGUAAGUAACUGUGCACAUCUUGACGGUACCUAAUCAGAAAGCCACGGCUAACUACGUG
rnacentral:rRNA from 1 species